rnacentral:rRNA from 1 species
UACGGGGGGGGCAAGCGUUGUUCGGAAUUACUGGGCGUAAAGGGCUCGUAGGCGGCCAACUAAGUCAGACGUGAAAUCCCCUCGGCUUAACCGGGGAACUGCGUCUGAUACUGGAUGGCUUGAGUUCGGGAGAGGGAUGCGGAAUUCCAGGUGUAGCGGUGAAAUGCGUAGAUAUCUGGAGGAACACCGGUGGCGAAGGCGGCAUCCUGGACCGACACUACACUGAGGGAGCGAAAAAGCCCAGGGGGGAGCAAAACGGGGAUUAGAAAACCCCCAGUAG